AGCAGCCGCGGUAAUUCCAGCUCCAAUAGCGUAUAUUAAAGUUGUUGCAGUUAAAAAGCUCGUAGUUGAAUUUCGGGAUCAGUAGGUUGGUCAUGCCUUUGGUAUGUACUGGCCUCACUGAUUCCUCCCUCUUGAAGAACUGUAAUGUUAUUAAUUUGGUGUUGCGGGGAAUCAGGACUGUUACUUUGAAAAAAUUAGAGUGUUUAAAGCAGGCUUACGCUUGAAUACAUUAGCAUGGAAUAAUGAAAUAGGACGUUUGAUCCUAUUUUGUUGGUUUCUAGGAUUGACGUAAUGAUUAAUAGGGAUAGUUGGGGGCAUUAGUAUUCAAUUGUCAGAGGUGGAAUUCUUGGAUUUAUUGAAGACUAACUACUGCGAAAGCAUUUGCCAAGGAUGUUUUCAUUAAUCAAGAACGAAAGUUAGGGGAUCGAAGACGAUCAGAUACCGUCGUAGUCUUAACCAUAAACUAUGCCGACUAGGGAUCGGAUGAUGUUAAUUUUUUAAUGACUCAUGCGGCGCCUUA
rnacentral:misc_RNA from 1 species